rnacentral:rRNA from 1 species
AGUGAACGCUGGCGGUAGGCCUAACACAUGCAAGUCGAACGGCAGCACAGUAAGAGCUUGCUCUUACGGGUGGCGAGUGGCGGACGGGUGAGGAAUACAUCGGAAUCUACUUUUUCGUGGGGGAUAACGUAGGGAAACUUACGCUAAUACCGCAUACGACCUACGGGUUAAAGCAGGGGAUCUUCGGACCUUGCGCGAUUGAAUGAGCCGAUGUCGGAUUAGCUAGUUGGCGGGGUAAAGGCCCACCAAGGCGACGAUCCGUAGCUGGUCUGAGAGGGUGAUCAGCCACACUGGAACUGAGACACGGUCCAGACUCCUACGGGAGGCAGCAGUGGGGAAUAUUGGACAAUGGGCGCAAGCCUGAUCCAGCCAUACCGCGUGGGUGAAGAAGGCCUUCGGGUUGUAAAGCCCUUUUGUUGGGAAAGAAAAGCAGCAGGUUAAUACCCCGCUGUUCUGACGGUACCCAAAGAAUAAGCACCGGCUAACUUCGUG